rnacentral:rRNA from 1 species
AUUGAACGCUGGCGGCAGGCUUAACACAUGCAAGUCGAGCGGGGAGAUGUAGCUUGCUACAUAUCCUAGCGGCGGACGGGUGAGUAAUGCUUAGGAAUCUGCCUAUUAGUGGGGGACAACAUUCCGAAAGGAAUGCUAAUACCGCAUACGCCCUACGGGGGAAAGCAGGGGAUCUUCGGACCUUGCGCUAAUAGAUGAGCCUAAGUCGGAUUAGCUAGUUGGUGGGGUAAAGGCCUACCAAGGCGACGAUCUGUAGCGGGUCUGAGAGGAUGAUCCGCCACACUGGGACUGAGACACGGCCCAGACUCCUACGGGAGGCAGCAGUGGGGAAUAUUGGACAAUGGGCGCAAGCCUGAUCUAGCCAUGCCGCGUGUGUGAAGAAGGCCUUUUGGUUGUAAAGCACUUUAAGCGAGGAGGAGGCUCCUUUAGUUAAUACCUAAAGAGAGUGGACGUUACUCGCAGAAUAAGCACCGGCUAACUCUGUG